rnacentral:lncRNA from 1 species
CGGCCAACGACCCACUUCUAAUCCAAAUCGUCCGGAAUGACCUCGUUGUAACCUGAAAUGUAGGGGUGAGCAUUUCGUCCUCGCUAGCCCAAUAGGGGCCGACCCAACCUUAGUUAGGUUUGAAAACUAAUAGGUAAAACAUAACUAUUAGAAUAUAGAUUGCGCGCAUUUGUAAAAUCGAGUAAAACAAAUGCAAACAAAAACAAUCAGAGUUGUUUCGUUUCAGGAAAUCAUAUGCAGCAUGCUUCACACAACUUGGAGCUCCGAGAUACUUACCUGCCGGCUAAACUAAAAUAAAUCGGUGACCGACCUGGUUCGUCAUCCUUCGAGAACCGGCCAACUACUCUAUAGUCUUUAGGGCUACAAGUAGCGAAAGUGUCCAUUUCCUGGCUCUGAGUCUCCUAUGACUGGUUCACUGUCUGUACUCACCUUUCCUCGACAAACAUAGGAGCACAGCCCCCUCCGGAGGUUCACAGUUAUCGACACCGUGGGAUCCCUAGGAAUCUACUCGUCUAGGUCCCAUUCACUUUCAGGUC